rnacentral:rRNA from 1 species
GAAUUGUUCGCAAUGGGCGCAAGCCUGACGACGCAACGCCGCGUGGAGGACGAAGAUCUUCGGGUCGUAAACUCCUGUCGAGCGGGAAGAACACCUGCCGGGUGAAUAACCUGGCGGGCUGGCGGUACCGCUCAAGGAAGACCCGGCUAACCCCGUGCCAGCAGCCGCGGUAAUACGGGGGGGGCAAGCGUUGUUCGGAAUUACUGGGCGUAAAGGGCUCGUAGGCGGCCAACUAAGUCGGAUGUGAAAUCCCCAGGCUCAACCUGGGAACUGCAUCCGAUACUGGAUGGCUUGAAUUCGGGAGAGGGAUGCAGAAUUCCAGGUGUAGCGGUGAAAUGCGUAGAUAUCUGGAGGAAUACCGGUGGCGAAGGCGGCAUCCUGGACCGACAUUGACGCUGAGGAGCGAAAGCCAGGGGAGCAAACGGG